UACGUAGGUGGCAAGCGUUGUCCGGAUUUAUUGGGUUUAAAGGGUGCGUAGGCGGUAUAUUAAGUCAGCGGUGAAAGACGGUCGCUCAACGAUUGCAGUGCCGUUGAUACUGAUAUACUUGAGUGAUGCUGAGGUAGCUGGAAUUGACCGUGUAGCGGUGAAAUGCAUAGAUAUGGUCAAGAACGCCAAUUGCGAAGGCAGGUUACUGGACAUCAACUGACGCUGAGGCACGAAAGUGUGGGGAUCAAACAGG
rnacentral:rRNA from 1 species